rnacentral:rRNA from 1 species
GUGGGGAAUAUUGGACAAUGGGCGCAAGCCUGAUCCAGCCAUGCCGCGUGAGUGAUGAAGGCCUUAGGGUUGUAAAGCUCUUUCAGUAGGGAAGAUAAUGACGGUACCUACAGAAGAAGCCCCGGCUAACUUCGUGCCAGCAGCCGCGGUAAUACGAAGGGGGCUAGCGUUGUUCGGAUUUACUGGGCGUAAAGCGCACGUAGGCGGAUUGGUCAGUUAGAGGUGAAAUCCCGAAGCUCAACUUCGGAACUGCCUUUAAUACUGCCAGUGUCGAGUCCGGAAGAGGUGAGUGGAACUCCUAGUGUAGAGGUGGAAUUCGCAGAUAUUAGGAAGAACACCAGUGGCGAAGGCGGCUCACUGGUCCGGUACUGACGCUGAGGUGCGAAAGCGUGGGGAGCAAACAGGAUUAGAUACCCCGGUAGUCC